rnacentral:rRNA from 1 species
AAUGAACGCUGGCGGCGUGCUUAACACAUGCAAGUCGAGCGAGGCCUGGGGGGCAACUCCCAGAGUCGAGCGGCGGACGGGUGAGUAACACGUGGGUAACCUGCCCGGAAGUGGGGAAUACCUCGGGGAAACUCGAGCUAAUACCGCAUGACAUCUUUGGGACGAAAGUCCUGACGAUCAAAGCGGGGUCGCAAGAUCUCGCGCUACCGGAUGGGCCCGCGCCCGAUUAGCUAGUUGGGAGGUAACGGCUCACCAAGGCUUCGAUCGGUAACCGGCCUGAGAGGGCGAUCGGUCACACCGGAACUGAGACACGGUCCGGACUCCUACGGGAGGCAGCAGUGGGGAAUCUUGCGCAAUGGGCGAAAGCCUGACGCAGCAACGCCGCGUGGAGGA